rnacentral:lncRNA from 1 species
CAAAAGUAAGAAAGCUCACACAUGCUACUCCUGUUCAGAGCCUGAAUCUCAGCCUGAAUCUGAACCAAACAGUGUUUCAGAGGAGGAGAAGACUCAGGCUCUGAUGGAGCACACACUUAAGAAGCCCUUCUUCCCUUCUUUCCUUUCACCAUCUCCAGGCAGCAAAGCUAGGAGACGCCCAAUCAAACAUGACUCCUGGGAUUUGGAAGAUGGCCUCGAUGAUGCAUUUUCAAGACUGGCAACAUCCCGCAGCAGAACCGUGUCUGAGGAUGCAGCUGUGAGUCCAGCGGAAGAAGAUCUCCUUUCCUUCAGCAGUGAGGACUCAGACUGAACACACACACACACACACACACACACAUCACUCUCACCAGCCUAUAAGAAAGUGUCCUGAACACACAAUGCGCAACGUCUGCCUCAGUGAUGGACUCAUUCACACCACUGCCACUUAAAACAGCAACAAUACCACAAAACAGCAGCAUAGACGUGCAUGAUUCAACUAUAGAACUCUUGAAUUCCAAUGUACUUUCAUUAUAAUACUGUAAGUUCAGGGUAAGUACUUGAUAAUACAACAUGUGAAACUGUAUGUUGUAUUCAAGCGUUUGUGUAAGCAGAUUUACUAUGUAUAUCAUGUAAACAGUGUAAAUCUUUUCACAUUGGUGCUAUAUUGUAGAUACUUGGGUUAUGUUAUUUAAAUAUACAUUAACUGCAAACAUGUACCAAAUGUACAUUCCACAAAGAACAGACGUCUGUCCUUCAGCCCAGCGUUCUUCAAGUCAGAUGGUGUGGGUCGUUUCAGUCGAGUCCUUUGCGCUGAACAAACCCACUUCAAAGCUCUCAGACAAGUGUGAUUAAACAUCAGAUGAUGUACAGUACUGGAGCCGCAUGUGUUAGGGAGCUUUAGAUGUGCAGUUAUACACUCUAGGUGAACGUUUACGAAUAUAAGCAUGUAGAAUUGUUCAGGACUGAUAUUUCGACGCUCUGUAAUUCAAUUUCAGAUACAUAUUGUGGGUCAGGGUGACGUUUGCUUACGCAAUCAUUGCAGAAACUCUUUUCUGUGAUCAUGGAAUUUUGAAAAAUUUGACAAAGGCCUCAAACACAUUUGAAUUUCUUUCUUCUUUAGAAUCCAAAAUAGUUUUGUGUAAAAGCCUUUCACACUGGCUUCCAGCCUCAAGUGUUAGGAUUAUUAUUAUUAUCGUUUAUAUUUACA